AUAUCUAGACACUAAAUCGUAUUUAGUAUUUACUAUCUUAGUGUAUUUUUCAUUUUUGUAAAUAAAGUUUAAAAGAAUCAGUUAGAAGUUUAUUAAUAGCCUGCAUCUCCGCUAUGUCGUAGCUUGUUCGACGAGUACAUGCGAUUUCUGUCCGAUUUCUUAUCUAUCGUGCCUGUAUACGAGCCGCACUAGAUGCACCAAGACAUGGGUGUAUUACUCAUUAGUCAUUGUUGUACAGUUGUAAACUAGUAAUAUAAAAACAAAAUAUUUUUAUAAUUCAAUACCGAAAUCAAUUUAUUAUAUUAUUAUGGAAUGGUGUUCGAGUAUAUUUCACGUAAUCAGGCUAUCAGCAUU